GACAGAGGAUGCAAGCGUUAUCCGGAAUGAUUGGGCGUAAAGCGUCUGUAGGUGGCUUUUCAAGUCCGCCGUCAAAUCCCAGGGCUCAACCCUGGACAGGCGGUGGAAACUACCAAGCUGGAGUACGGUAGGGGCAGAGGGAAUUUCCGGUGGAGCGGUGAAAUGCAUUGAGAUCGGAAAGAACACCAACGGCGAAAGCGCGCUGCUGGGCGGACACUGACACUGAGAGACGAAAGCUAGGGGAGCAAAUGGG
rnacentral:rRNA from 1 species